AUUGAACGCUGGCGGCAGGCCUAAAACAUGCAAGUCGAACGAGUGGCGGACGGGUGAGUAAUGUCUGGGAAACUGCCUGAUGGAGGGGGAUAACUACUGGAAACGGUAGCUAAUACAGCAUACAAUAAGAUGUGACCAGAUGGGAUUGGCUUGUUGGGGGGGUAACUGCUCACCAAGGCGACGAUCACUAGCUGGUUUGUGGGGCUGACCGGCCACACUGGAACUGAGACACGGUCCAGACCCCAACGGUAGGCAGCAGUGGGGAAUAUUGCACAAUGGGCUCAAGCCUGAUGCAGCCAUGCCGCGUGUAUGAAGAAGGCCUUCGGGUUGUAAAGUACUUUCAGCGGGGAGGCGUUACCCGCAGAAGAAGCACCGGCUAACUCCGUGCCAGCAGCCGCGGUAAUAC
rnacentral:rRNA from 1 species